rnacentral:misc_RNA from 1 species
CACCACUCGAGUCUGACUCGGUAUUGGGCGUCGCGCAUUGCCGCGCGCCUUAAAGUCUCCGGCUGGGCGGCCCGUCUCCGAGCGUUGUGACAUCACAGUUUCGCUAGGGAGUCGCGGGCGGCGUUGGCCGUUAAAUACCCCAUCAAA